rnacentral:rRNA from 1 species
UGCCAGCAGCCGCGGUAAUACGGAGGGUGCGAGCGUUAAUCGGAAUUACUGGGCGUAAAGCGCGCGUAGGCGGCUUGGUCAGUCGGAUGUGAAAGCCCCGGGCUCAACCUGGGAAUUGCAUUCGAUACUGACAAACUAGAGUAUGGGAGAGGGAAGCGGAAUUUCCGGUGUAGCGGUGAAAUGCGUAGAUAUCGGAAGGAACACCAGUGGCGAAGGCGGCUUUCUGGACCGAUACUGACGCUGAGACGCGAAAGCGUGGGGAGCAAACAGGAUUAGAUA